ACGGGAGGCAGCAGUGGGGAAUAUUGCACAAUGGGGGAAACCCUGAUGCAGCGACGCCGCGUGAGUGAAGAAGUAUUUCGGUAUGUAAAGCUCUAUCAGCAGGGAAGAAAAUGACGGUACCUGACUAAGAAGCCCCGGCUAACUACGUGCCAGCAGCCGCGGUAAUACGUAGGGGGCAAGCGUUAUCCGGAUUUACUGGGUGUAAAGGGAGCGUAGGCGGUAUGCUAAGUCUGAUGUGAAAGCCCGAGGCUCAACCUCGGUACUGCAUUGGAAACUGGUAAACUAGAGUGUCGGAGGGGUAAGUGGAAUUCCUAGUGUAGCGGUGAAAUGCGUAGAUAUUAGGAGGAACACCAGUGGCGAAGGCGGCUUACUGGACGAUAACUGACGCUGAGGCUCGAAAGCGUGGGGAGCAAACAGGAUUAGAUACCCUGGUA
rnacentral:rRNA from 1 species